UACGUAGGGUGCGAGCGUUGUCCGGAUUUAUUGGGCGUAAAGAGCUUGUAGGCGGUUUGUCGCGUCUGCUAGUGAAAUUUCGGGGCUCAACCCCGAACUUGCAGUGGGGUACGGGCAGACUAGAGUGUGGUAGGGGAGACUGGAAUUCCUGGUGUAGCGGUGAAAUGCGCAGAUAUCAGGAGGAACACCGAUGGCGAAGGCAGGUCUCUGGGCCAUAACUGACGCUGAGAAGCGAAAGCAUGGGGAGCGAACAGG
rnacentral:rRNA from 1 species